rnacentral:rRNA from 1 species
CCCUUAGAUGUUCUGGGCCGCACGCGCGCUACACUGACGAAGUCAGCGAGCAUCUCCUACGCCGAAAGGUGCGGGGAAUCUUGUGAAACUUUGUCGUGCUGGGGAUUGAUUUUUGAAAUUCUUGAUCAUCAACGAGGAAUUCCUAGUAAGCGCAAGUCAGCAGCUUGCGUUGAUUACGUCCCUGCCCUUUGUACACACCGCCCGUCGCUACUACCGAUUGAAUGGUUUAGUGAGAUUUUUGGACUGGAACUCUCUUGUUCAGCAAUGAACGAGAGGGACUCUGGGAAGCUAUUCUAACUGUAUCAUUUGGAGGAAGUAAAAGUCGUAACA